rnacentral:rRNA from 1 species
AGAGUUUGAUCCUGGCUCAGAAUGAACGCUGGCGGCGUGCCUAACACAUGCAAGUCGGAUGUGCCGCAAGGUGCAUGGCAGACGGGUGAGUAACGCGUGGGGAAUCUACCUCUUUGUGGGGAAUAACGCUCCGAAAGGAGUGGUAAUACCGCAUGAGACCUUCGGCUGGGAUGCUGGAGGUGAAACCUGGGGACCGCAAGGCCUGGGGCAAGGAGAGGAUCCUGCGUCUGAUUAGCUAGUUGGCGGGGUAAUGGCCCACCAAGGCGACGAUCAGUAGCCGGCCUGAGAGAGUGAUCGGCCACACUGGAACUGAGACACGGUCCAGACUCCUACGGGAGGCAGCAGUGGGGAAUUUUGCGCAAUGGACGAGAGUCUGACGCAGCAACGCCGCGUGGGUGAUGAAGGUCUUCGGACUGUAAAACCCUGUCGUCAGGGACGAAGGUGGCACGACUAAUAAUC